UAUAAGGGAUUUUGAGUUUUCGUUUGAACUGUUUGAUCACUCGUCUUAUUUAAAAAAAUUUAGAAUUAUUAUUUAUUUUUUUGUGACAUACUUUAUUAUCUAAAGUACUUUAAGCACAACUUUUCGUUUUUUAUAUUUGCACAAGUUUUUUGAAUAAGACGAGUGGUUAAACAGUUCAACCAAAAACUCAAAAUCUCUUAUA
rnacentral:pre_miRNA from 1 species